CUUCCUUCACUAGACAAGAAAACAACGACGACGACCUUUGGAAUUUGGAUGGGUUGCAUGAGGAAGAAGAA